AAAAAAAAAAAAAAAAUAAAAACACAUUGUAUACAUUCAGACAAGUCUCAACUAUACAACAGAUAAAAAAAAAACAAAAUAAUUAAAUAAAUUGGUGAAAUGUGUUAGAGGAAAAAUGCCGACUUAUAUAUAUAUAUAUAUAUAAGUAUCUCACUACCCUGAUAUAAUACAAAUACCCUGGGCAAUCAUCACUCCAAGUGGAUGAGUUUACCUUGCAUUUUGUGACAUCCUCAACUUUGCUUUUCAAACUGGAAAGAAGUGGCUCAGAAAGUCAAAAAUAGCCAAUUUCCAAAUAAUAAUGAUCAUGAGUACUAACAUCGUUUUCAAAUGUGAAUCUUUAUUAUUUGCCCAUACACAAAAUGAGCAUACAGAAGUCAAGCCAAAAAUUUACUGAAAUAGAAAAACAGGUGGUAUUAUAAAAUUAUAUAACUCAUCCAUGCAUUUUUAAAUCUUUAUUAAAACCUGACAUAGAAUGAGCAUAACUGAAUUAAUGCAAUAAAUGAAACUUUAGGAAUGCCAGGAAUACAAUGAAUUAGGAUACCUUAAGUACUGAUAUGAACUUAUGUACAAAAACAAAGGUGACAUUGGGGCAUUAGCAAACCUUUAUUUCACAAGUAUAAACAAUUUUGACAUGAAUGAAAACUGAAAUGGAAAUAAGUACCAUCAUCAAAAUAAGAAAAAAUAAAAUUAAUCAAAAACGAACUAAACUUUGGGUACACUAAAGAAUAUAACUUGAGCAGAGGUUAGAAAGCAAAGACGCCACAGGGAAUUGAACCCCGUCCUGAGAAUCAGGAGUGCCUCCACCGGAGUCUUUUGCUUUUUUUCUUAUGAGGUUAAAAAAGCAAAACCUGAAGGAAAAAUCCUAAGAUUAUUCCCUCAGGAAAAGAAAAACCUCAAACCUGCUGCUCUACGAUACUCUGGUCUUCUAUGGCUCUUCUUCUUUAGCCUGAAACUACACAAAGACUGCAGGUAUCCCCCCAAUCCCCAGAUAAACUCUUCAAAACAUCCAAAAUGCCAUAGCUACUAUUGAAGUUACGGUAAAAUUUUCAUAUGCUUCUACUUGGAAGAUCAAAUCUCUGACCAGCGAGGUCAUGAACAAGGUUGCACUUGCAUUCAGGUGUGACUUGUUCCCAUUUAAAAGCUGAAACACAAAGAGAAUAGUUUAGAGCCCCCCACCCCACCCAACCCAAAAGUGUCAUAACCAAUGUAAUUCAAACGUCAGUUACCACCAAACAAUGGUCCAGGUGUCGAAAUCCCGCCAACAUGGCCAGAACAAAAUCCUGCCUUUGUGAGUCACCAUUCCUGUAACUAGACAGAUGCUCGCAGGGUUUUUCCGUUCCCCCCCACAGACUCCCCAAACUAUUUUCAUAAUCUUUAAAAAGGCAAAUGUGCACGUAAAAACUUAUCUCCAGCCUGUGACGCUUUACACCCAACUCUUCGGAGUAAAGUGUUAGCAAGUCUACAGCUGCAAUGAAAGAACAGAGCAAAAAAAAUUUACAAGCCCACAUCCCCCUCCCUCCCCAUCCCGAUACAAUUUAAAUUAAUUUACAAUCCAUUCCAAAUACUUGUUACGCAAUUGCUUCGACGCAAGCACAUCCAUCCACUCCCAUGUUACAGCUCGGGCUCAAUUUUAGAAGAAUCACAACAGCAUACCUGAAAAGAGAGAAAGUGUUGCCCCAUCCCUCCCCAAAGCUACCAGAUUCCAAACACUAACAUUGGAUUUGAUUGAAAUUUUAGUGCAAGUGUUAUGUGCAUGCAUAUUUAUGAAAAAGUGAAUGCUUGUUCUACCCACACAUAAGAUUAAGAUCAACUUCAUGUACUUAACUCAGCAGAUAGCAGCAGAGCGAUGCUCAAUUAGCAGCAAAAUGACAAAUGAGGUUGAUCAGAGCGACUGGAUGUUUCAUCAGGCGGUUAGAGCUCUCCCAGACGACAAGACAAUUUUGCGUCCUAAGUGAAAUUGACCUAAGAAAAUGAAGAAUUGGAGAAGAAAAGAAAAAAAAACAAAAAAAAAAAACGGGAGAGACGCGCAGACACACAAAGGGACUUCAGCGAAGGGCUUCAGAGGUUUGGACAAAGAUCUCAAGCGCACGGUAGGGGGAUUUGAUCGCCAUUCAUUCAAGUGAAGACAUUCACCAGGGCAACUGCUCUCACAGACAGCCUCGCAUUCAGAUGCAGUUGAGAAGGCGUGGGACAGACGGGUAAUCUGAAACAAAGAGCUUCUACACACAAACACUUCCACCACACCGACUUCAAUACUAAGGAGUUAAGAGAUGUAAAAGAAACUUAAAGUGCAUGAAGCACAAAACAAGUGCAGCUUCUGAAGCAGUGGUGAUUGAUGUUACUGAAGAUUACAAUGUUGCAUGAGGAUUCUACAAUCAAGUUUAAAGAUUCAGACACCUGGUAGCUACAGACUCCACAGGACGACAUCAUGUAACUUUCACCACACAGCUGGCUGAUGAGAUUUCUGCAGAAGAAAGAGAAUAGUGCAAAGCCCUCCCCAGCCCAAACAAAUCUUUUCCAGGUAACUUUCGGCUAUACAGCCAAUCAAAAAAAAACAGCUGCACAGUUGCACAGCUUUUCCCAGCCACUCUAAAUUUGGAGUUUGGAGCACAUUUGUGCAACAGCUGAACAGACUAUUGCUAUACAUUUGUAAAGCAACUUUUACACCCUGCACAGUUGCGCAGAGCAGUGGCUGGGUAAUUAAACAUUUUAAAAGUACAGUACAGUUUAAUAUCUUCUGUAGCACAACGAAUUGUCCUGCCUGCCGAAGUAUUCAGUGGAACCGGAUGAAGUGGCAUUCUUCACGAGGCCUCGUAAAAUUCUGCAAGACCAAAAAUGGCAAAAACAAAGGCCCCCUCUGCCCACCCUUACAAAACAGCCCAUUAUCAAAGUAAAACAGUCUACAAGAAUCAGAUAUUAAAAGGGUAGGCUUAUGUAUAAGAGACUACAAUUUAAUGCAUAAAGCAUAUCUUCAAGUUAAAUUUGUAUAUUUUGCCUUUCUUCCUUCGACCUGAGUACAGUUGUAGAACUGGACUGAUCUGCCUCUCCACCUUGAACAGAGUCGACAUCAAGCCCUGGCAUCCAAGCUCUACAAAAAGCGCCAAGCUUUACACUCACACCUGAAAAAGCACAGAAAUACCCCAAGAAACAAAAUGCAUACCAAAAUAUUUCAAUCACAACAAGCUAUGCAUUUAUUAACUGAAAAUGGGAACAGUUACAGAAUGUACACUUACAUACAAAUUACAAAGCUAAUUUGUAAUAAGUGCUCUACCACACAUCUUAACAAUUGUAACAGACUAUUAAUGAAAAAAUGUUAGGAACAAAUGGCUUGCUUAGUGACCUUACGUGACCAAAUGAGGCUGAAGUUGACUGAUGCGAAAGCAAAUCUUUACAUACAAUGUUAAGAUGACAUCUUCAGUCGAAAGCAUUCAGGGACACUGCACACUGAAAAAUGCAAAGGGGGAGGAAAAGAAAGCCUACACACAUCCCCGCUCUUCAAAAUACAAAAUUAACCAAACAAUAAGAAACUAAUACAAUUACUGCAUAGACACUUAGCCAUCAAAUUGUAUUCAAGUACAAUACAAUGACAGACAAAAGCAAAAUGAAUGCCAUUUACAUGAAUACCCAAUUACUUGCCAUUAGAAAACGUUAAAAGCAUCUUGGCCUCUAUUGAAGUAGCUUUGCUCCUUAAGUGGGGGGGGGGGAGCAGAUAUUGGUUGGACCACCAGCUUUGUUCUUUGAGGGUUUGUUUCAUUCUGUAAGAGUCAAAAUUAAGCAAUCCCCCCCAAGAUCCACAAACCCCAUAAACAAUAUCAAUACAUACAACCAAUAUCGAUAUACCAUUCAAUAAUGAGACAAAAGAAUGCCAUCAUGAUGUGUUAAAUAAAUGGAAGCGUUUGAUCCCAUGCCGCGUUACCAAAGAUGUAAACGCUGGUCUAGCUGCCAUGGAAGGCUUGUAACAGGGCCACUCAUCCACUGGCAGACACACUGGUGGUUCCUUCCCCCAUACAGCGCUAUUCAAGCCACUGCCACCCUUAAAUAAAGCUGCUUUCACAAGCUGCAAAGUCUAGGAAGAGAUUUGGGUUAACGGCCCACACCCCUCCACCCCAUUGCCCAUGACAAUCCCAGACAUUAAAUACUGGAAAAUAUUCAUGUAUAGUAUAUGGUUCACAAUUCCAAACACAACUUAACAAAUUCAAUGAGGUACCUUCCUAAAUCCCAUCAAAGUAGAGGCUUUACUUGUAGCUUUGUAAGAAUCGUUACAAAGGAGUCAACAAUUUGACUUUAAAAGGGUCCACACAACAUCCUGGAAUCCCUUUUGGUUCUAUCGCCUCUAAAUGUGACCAGGGCCUGUGGGAAAGAGAACUCGAGAAACGCAUUUGCCCCUCCCAAACCCCCAAAACACUGUGCAAUAACAUUACGUCACUAUUCAGAAACUGCAUUUGCAAAAUCUGUAUGUUACUACUUUUACAAUAGCGCAUUUACAAAAAAUAAGCGUUGCGUUUUCCUUUUUUUUUUUUGUAUUUUUUUUUUAUAUUAAAGCAACAGUGCUUUUAUUUCAUUAAAAUUCAUGCAUGAACUCAUCAAAAUUUUUACCGGCAGGCAAUACGCAGCUGCCCUGGCAUCAUAUGUCGGACUGACGCAGCGGGGGUGCCGUAGAGGUAGUUGUGUCGUGUAGGGACGCAGGGGAACAUCAACUCCGAAAAACCCUUCGCAUGUAGAUUGCUUCUCAGGACAGACCUAAUGGAUUUAAGCGGAUAUGGGGACGACUUUUCCACGGGCCUAUAGCCAAAACGUAGCGGAGGCGUGGUCGAUUAAGGACGGACGUCUCCACAGCACACUAACGCCAUUCAUCAGACUUGGCCAACAACAGGAAAGAUGACACAUCGGAAUUUCAAACACUGUCACUCACCACGCCUGAAAAGGAAAGAACAGAACUUCGCGAGCAAAAGUGUUCUGGAAUGCAAACUACUGACAUGACUUCAAAAUUACACAGGAUACCUCUACCCAUACAAACCAAAUGCCCUCUUCGUGACUUUGCUAUGGCGAAGACCCCCUGAUACUCUCUGCUUGUGAGCCCUCUUUCUUUCUCUGCAGCUGCUGGGACAUUCAUCUUUGGCUUGCUCUGAUCUAGACCAGCUGAGCUCCCUCUGGUGGCGAAAGUUGUUUGACGCUAAUCUGCCUUGUGGAUCUGGCUCCCCCAUCUGGAUACUGCUGCUGUUGCCUGCUCUGUGCCCUCUGAUCCUCCCCCGGUUCCCCUCUGGUCCUGCCUGGCUCGCCAUCUUGUCCUGAUUCUCCCUGGUCCUGGCCUCUGCUGUGGGUCUUUUCUUCCAUCCGUUGUCAUCUAAGCGCUAGGUCGUUACUGGAUAAAUUAAACUCAGUCCAUUUCUCCUUUACUCCGUACUUCAGUCUUCUGCUGAUAUUGUCGGAUCAUGAAAGACAAGCUAUGCUCCCCAUUCACAGCUGUUACGCAACACGUGACUCAGUCCAUAAAAGCGAUCAUUAAGGUGCAUGUUCAAGCACUCAGAAGUGCGUCAUCGUAACUGAUUAAAAUGCUUUAUGAAUUGAUGGUCGAAAAACUGGUUUUACGUAAAAAAAUAAAAAUCUUCAGAAACAGAUAAGCUGCGACUAUAAUCAUCGUCCAUUUCUUCCUAAGUAUGAACUCACUUGUUCAAUAGAUUCUUCCUAAUAGAAGUAACGAGACGGGCUUCUCCAAAGGCUUCAAAAAUAAAUAAAAUACUAAUUUCCUGGCUGUCCGGGGUUUAUCUUAGCAGUAAGCGGAUACUGAUGGUUCUGUUAUGGUUUGCAGAAAAAAAGGUUUUUUUUUUUUUUUAAAAUAAAAUCUUCUGUAGAUCUGUUCGCCCUUGCAUCAUGUGUCUGCUAACCGUCGCGACCGCCAUUUUGAAAAAGCGUUGCUAACGUUAAGAAUGAGAAAUCGAGUAACUUAUCGAAAAAAAAGCUUUUUAAGUCAAGUCACGUCAUAAAAAUCUCGUUGAAAGAAGAAUAUAUUUAAAACUAGCUUAAUAAAAUAGGAUAACAUGGUCAUAGCUGUGCUUUGUUUAAGCUAUUAGUCAGCUGGUUAAACAUUAGCUAGUAGUAAAAUCAGCAUUACAUAUUCUAUUUCAUAAAAUUGCUUAUUUCAUAGUUCGUCUUUCCUAUUAGAAAUAGUCUGGUAAGUAAUUAUUUAAAAAAAAAAUGCACUUUUAACGUAUAAAAAGCUUUCAUUAAAUCUUCUUCACGCUAAAUGUAAUAGCCUUAGUACGGUCAACUGUAACAAAGUAUAAGCUUGAAAGUGAAUAAAGUUGGCUAAGAAUAGUGCCUCUAAAUAAUCGUUAUUAAAAUAAAAUAGAAUAAAGCGAAAUCACAUCACCAGAUCACCGAACGAACCCUGCCUGCCUUCCUGUGCGCCUCACCCCGUCGUGACGCGCUUUGUUGUUGCCAUGGUUUUUAUAGACCUAGGCGGUCGAUAGGCGGCCGGUUUCAACUCCUUCCGCCGUGUGAUAAAAAAAAAUAGUUCCUCUCAAAAGAAUUUUGCAUGCUAUUUUUAUAGUUCUUUCAGAGAUAU
ensembl:lncRNA